rnacentral:rRNA from 1 species
UUAAAGGGCUGCAGUAUAUUGACUGUACAAAGGUAGCAUAAUCAUUAGUCAUUUAAUUGAUGACUUGUAUGAAGGAUUGGAUGAAAUAUAAACUGUCUCUUAAUUAUAUUUAGAAUUUAAUUUUUUAAUUAAAAAGUUAAAAUAAAUUAGAAAGACGAGAAGACCCUAUAGAGUUUUAUAGGUAAAAUUAAUUGAGAUUAUUUGUAAAAAUUAAAAUUAAGAUUAAUUUAUUUAUUUUGUUGGGGUGACAGAAAAAUAUGAAAAACUUUUUAUAUGUUUAAAACAUUAAUAAGUGGUUAAAUGAUCCAGUAUUAUUGAUUAUAAGAAAAAAUUACCUUAGGGAUAACAGCGUAAUUUUUUUUUUUAGUUCAUAUAAAAAAAAAAGUUUGCGACCUCGAUGUUGGAUUAAGAUAAAAUUUAAAUGCAGAAG